rnacentral:rRNA from 1 species
AGAGUUUGAUCCUGGCUCAGGACGAACGCUGGCGGCGUGGAUUAGGCAUGCAAGUCGAACGGUAGGGUGCUUUCGGGCACCUGAGAGUGGCGAACGGGUGAGUAACACGUAGGUUAUCUACCCUCAAAUUGGGGACAACCCAGGGAAACUUGGGCUAAUACCGAAUGAGUGCAUCGGUGAUGGUGCAUAAAAGAUGGCGUAAGCUGUUGUUUGAGGAUGAGCCUGCGCUCUA